AUUAUUAAUGAGUAUUUUGAUGUUGUCCUUUGUUUAUUUUUUUGUGUUUUAAUGUAGUAUUAAAACAAAAUUGAUAACAGAAAACUCAGGAAUACAAAAUGAAUAACGACGUAGCUAGCAAAUUUAUCAACUCUAUUGUGAAAAAUCUUCAAUUACUUUGCCAUAGUGAUGUCAACUUCAAUGAAAAUGUGGAGAUAAUUGGCCAUUUGUAUUUAAAUGUUGAUAGUAACAGUAAAUAUAAUUAUUUUGUCAAUGAAAAAGUGUGUAAGAAUGAUGAAUCAUCAACAGUAUUUGUGAGUAAUAGUUUUCAUGCAGAACCAGUCAAAAAACCAAGUCUUUGUGAAACAAACGACAAAAAUAUUGGAGAAUUUAAAAAUGUCAAUAAACAAACUGAUCAAAGAAAAAAUUGGAGCGAUUCACGACAAAGAAAAACAGAAAGAAUUAAGCAUGGCACUCCCAAAAAUAUGGAUUCUUUCUCAGAUGAUGAUAUGCCUCCUGCUAAACAUGCUAAACUUCGUAUAGAAAUGCCAAUACAAAGUGAUACAAGAUUUGGUUCAAGCUCAUUUGAAAAAAAAGUGAAAUCAGAAUUUGACCAAUUUAACAUUAGUUUUAAUAAUAAUGCGAGAGUACACCAAGACAAUGCCUCACAAUACUCUACUUCAUCACCCCAUUUAUCCGAUAAUAAACAUUUGGCUGAUGAUUCCUGUAUAGAUUUAACUGAUAUUAAAAAUGAACCCAGUGAUAAUGAUGAUAGUGAAUAUAUUAAAAGUCAACAACAUAUAAUAGACCAAGGAGAUACAUCAUAUAUGACAGAUGAUGAAAGUUUAUCAACAUUUUCUGGUAGUAAUGAACAAAUAUUAAAUUUAUAUACAACAGCAGUUAGUCAAAAUGAACCACAUUGUAGUUUAAAUAAUUUUACGCAUUUACCAUUAUCAGCAAAUACAGACAAAAUGUUGUUUCCUCCACUACCUCAAACUGGGCCGAAUUCACUGUCCGCUAAAACAAGAUCCCUUAUACCACAAGUUGUAAGACAAGCUGCAGAAGGUCUUAAUCUGGAUUGGUCAAAUCCCCCACGACUAAGUCAACUUACCACUUCACAAGCUGAAAUGUUUUUCAUGUCUGUCCAACAGCAAUAUGUAGAGUUGUAUGAACGCAAAAAAUUGAUGUGGUUUAAACUUGGGGAACAUUUGAAAAACAGAAGACAAUAUUUGCUAGCAUUAAAGAGUGGUAAAAUGUGGGGAAACAAACGAUAUCAGAAGAAAAAUUAAAUAUUUUUGUCAUAAGUUAAUUUCUAUCAAAUAAAUGUGGAUUGUGAUAUCAGAUUUUUGACUUCGAAGUACAUGGCUCAUCAACCAGUGCUGCUGGCAGGGAGGAUGCAUCAAAUAAAAUUACUGAUAAAAUACAAAUGGUGACUAUUGAUGGUGUGGUUAAAUACAAGUGUCCUUCAUGUACCAGUGUUUUAUCAACAAAACAUAAAUUACAUCGCCAUUACAAUGAAAAACAUUUGAAUGUACGAUGUGUGUGUAAUAUUUGUGGCAGUUUGUUCACCCAACGUUCAUCAUUAAAAAGACAUAUUCUUAGUUGCCAUUCUGAUCUGAUAUCUUAACAAAAAAAUCUAAAACACAAGACAGAGCUGAUAACUCUUUGAUUUCUGUCACUUUCAGGUACAGCCAUCUUAUGGCAGUGUUACAUAUGAUGAAAAUGGUCAUGUUCGAUAUGCUUGUUCUAAGUGUGAUGCGGUUUUAUCAACUAGAGGCAGUUGUAUAAGACAUUUUAAUGAAAAACAUUUAAAUAUGGGCGUUUUGUGUGCAUUGUGUGGACAUAAAUUUACACAAAGAACCUCACUUAGAAGGCAUGUUUUAACGGUGCAUGGGGGACAAGAAUACAAAACUAAUGCAAUUUAAACUAUUACCUUUCGUACUGUAUUGUAUUUAAUUGAACAACCCAGCUGCAUGUAAAGUACAAUUUUCAGACAAAAGACUGGAGAUAUUCAUUUAGACUCUUAAAUUUUAAAAGUAUUUACUGUAUAGUACUACUGUCUGCAUUGUCUAUAAUAUUAAAAAAGAAGUAAUGUUUGCUUAUAUGUUAUACAGUAUACACACUGCCAAAUACAUUAAAAGAUUUUUUUGUUUUCUCCUCCAUUGGACUGCUACAAAACAGCUAUUUUCUCACUUUGUAACCUUAUAAUAAGAAGCAAUAGAUCAUGAUUGCAAGAGAUGGGCAAUAGUUCAGUAUUAUUAUGUAAACCUAUUUGAAAAAUAAGCAAGCCAUUAAGAAACAAUUUCCCAAACUGGAGAACCUGUUAUCAGAAUAUUCUGUUGGUUUGUAUUUUAAUUAAAUAAAUGAAAAUGAUUAUUUACCCAACAUUUUUUUGGUAAUCAAGUAACUUUAUAUCCUUUCAAAUGAAACAUAGCAUUCUUAAAUUAGUGGAUCAAAACCCAUUGCUAUUACAAAUUUAAAGAAUUGCCAUAUCGCCAACCAGGAGUGUGCUUCAUAUUCUCUGUAGAAGGUGUUUCGUUUCUGUCACUUAAAAUUGCCCAACAAAGUAUAGAGUAUAGUCCAUUCAAUUUAUGAUUUUACCCCCCCCCCCUUCCAAAUUGCAAGAAAAUGUUUUUACACAUUUUUGCAUUUAUUUAGGAGCCCUUUAUAAAGUCCCUAAAGUUUACCAAAUUUUGAGCACCGGUAAGCGGUAAAAUCCAAGAUGGCCAACAUUUGCCUAACCAAUGUACAAGAAAAUCCUAAACGGUUGGUUUUUAAGACCCUAUAAAUGUAUACUGAACAUAUAAAUUAAUGCUUUUAGGGUCAUUCUUCCAUAUGUUAGCAAAUGUUGCUCAGUUAAUGAAAAACAUCCUAUAGAUGGCAUAACACUUCAUUCUAUGAAGAACAAAUUGGUAAAUAAAUUCUUGCACAUCUAUUUACUUUUCUUGCUUCAUUCAUCUUCCAGGGCAUCAGAUUAUUGGAUGUAGGGACCCAAAAUCAUGUACAUACCAAAUAUGUCAGUAAGUGAUGAAGUAGUGCAGAGUUUGGGUUCACGUCAACAUGGGUUGGGGUAGGGGAUUCCCCGAAAAUGGUAUAAGGAACCACUUUACACCACUGGACAUACCUUCAAAUUAAAUAUUGACCCAAAAAACCUUAGUUCGGAUAACAUAUUAUAUUCUAUAUUAUGAUGAUGCAGUGCAGUGUUGCGCCUAUUCGUAAAUUUAAGUUCUUGGUCGCAGGUUGUGGGAGUAGGGGUAGCCCCAAAAAUGGCUUAAAGGACCAGUUAACACCACUGGGUAUAUUUUCAAAUGAAAGAAUGACCUAAAAACAUUAAUUUAGAGACAAAAAUUUCUAUUUUUAUGAUAAAACAGUGCAGAGUUAUGCCCCUUUUUAAAUUUGGAUUCUAGGCAGCAUGUUUCUGGCGUAAUGAUACCCCCUAACCUAAAAUGGUUCAAGAGAGCACAGGACAUCUAUGAAAACCAUGCCAUAUAAAAUUUUGACCAUGACGACAACCUAAUGCAAGGCUUCAGUUUCAUGUGUUUGUCUGAAGUUGUACCUUUUAAAGGAAUAUGGCUUAAAAACCUCAAAAUUUGGGACUCUCCAUUAGUCCAAUUUUAGUAAACUUUUAGGAUGUCAUUCAAUACACCCAACGGUACCAGAAACCCUCAGAAAACCUUUUCUUGCAAUUUUUUAGCGGUUGACCCCCUUUUUUUCAUAAAUUUAUCUAGCAUUUAAAAUCAUGUUCAGUUUAAUGUGAAAUGAAAUCAUCUUUUAAUUUAUGAGCCUUGUGUAGUAGAAUGUAUCAAUGAAAUUAAGGUAAUUUUAUAUGCAUGCACAUAUUCUGUUGUCAUACAAGAUAACAUUUCUUUUGUUUUAGAAUGAAACCCUGGCAGGAAAGUUUGAUUGUCAAGUUUGUGGAACUUCAUUUUCUAGAAAAUGGUGUCUUGAUCGUCAUGUUAAAGAAAAACAUCUUCAGAUUAAAUUUGAAUGUAAUCUUUGUACAGCUAAAUUUACCCGUAAACAAUAUUUAUAUGAUCAUAUAACAUCCUUACAUCAGUAAAUUGUACAAAAUGGCUUAUAUAAUAGGUAGCCAUAACCAUUGUGGAAAUAACUUAAUUUGGUUUGCACCAAAAGGCAUUGGUGCAAUAGCUUUGGACUGAAUCAUUCUUGUAAGUGAUAUUAUAUGUGAAUGUGAAGAAACAUUUCUUGUUUAUUUAAAGUUAAUGUUUCUCAAAGUAUUAUCUGAAAUAUACGAGGGAAUGUAUUUAGCUUUUAUUAAUAAGAAAGAUAUCCCAGUUUAUCAACAGCCAGUUAUCCGAACACAACGGGAGCUACAUGUAGCUAUUAAUGACAAUAUGUGAUAUCAAUAAAAUGUUUUAUCUCAUCA